GAUUCUGACCUCUACCACCACCACCAACACCACCAUCCAUCAAAACUAUCCCUUAAUGGUGUUCUUCCCUGUCACAUCUCUUCAGUUUACCAAAGAGAAAAAGAAAAAUCCCUAACCACGUGCUACCUUGAUUGGAUGUUGUGUCGUUUAUGUAAGGCAGGUUACCAAUUUGGCAAGGACAUUUAAAUUUAUCGUCUGACUUCUGCAGUACUGUGCCACGCAUUCCUAAGGCUUGUAUGAUAACUGGUACUUCAACAAAGAGAAACUUGUGAGGCUGAUUCAAUCACUCAUUUUUUUCUCAUGCAAAUAACUGUUUUUGUUUUUAAAGAGUUUAUUGCUAUUCUCAUUGAAGUUGCUUUUUAAUAAAAGGAUGUACAGUAAUGCAUGAUCUUUUAUUUAAUAGCCACCAACAAACUUCAGAAUGUAUUUUAAAAAGAGGGGGACAAUAUAAUAUUGAUUUUAAUGAUAGUAAUUAUUUGGAGAAGAAAUUCUGAAUUUAGCAGUCCUCCUCACAAUGAUUAGAUUAGUACAUUUUGCAUUUGGGGAUGAUUAUUUAAAUUUAACAGAAGACAAUUUACAAAGACAGUACUAUAACAAUACAAUGAACAGGAAAAUGAAGAAAGAGUAUGACUCCUGAGUAAGACCCUUUUGCCUGAACAUGAGAUGGUUCCCUAAAUCGCCCUAUACAUGAGGCUGCUGUUUAUUUCCUUCCAUGAUUUGCUUUACAAUAUGUUAAUGAUAAAUUCUGUUAGUGUACAAUACAUUGUAUUGCUUCUGGUUUGAAAUAUUCCUAAUUCUUUUGUAAUGUUUUUAAGAUGAUAUCAAAACAUUAGAAGCAUUCAUUUUGGAUUUUAUCAUUGGCUCUUAUGGAUCAAAUAUUAUAAUUUUUAUUUAAAUCACCAUUUAAUCAUGGCAUAUGAUUACUUAUGUGUUCUUUUGUUGGUAAUACAAAAAUCCAAAGUCUAUAAAAAUCAAAUUCUGUAGUUGACAUUUCUCAUGCAGCCUGUUUUUGAAACGGAAGUGUUACAUAUCAGUGAUUUUAAAACUCUUUACAUGUUUAUUCACUAAAUACAUUGACUUGCUUUUAAAUUCAGAAUUAUCUACUUCCUUAAAUCUGUAUACACUUUGUGUAAUAAAUUAAAAUCUAAGUACAAAUAUGUUCCUCUGUUUUUGUAUAUUCCACGUCUGUCUCUUUCAGUAUAUGCUGUGACUAUCAUUUGUAUGAAAGUCAAAAAUGAUCAGAAUGAGAAUGAUUUAGGAAGAUGCAGUUCUGAAAAUUCCAAAAAGAGUAUCUUCUUCAAAUGUUACAGAAGAGGAGUUUUUAAACUUCAGGAUUUGUUUGUAUGCAGAAGUUAGUAUUUCAAGUGCCAGUCAUGGAUGUAAACCAGCUUAAAUCAGAGAAGCCCACCAGCUCCUAAAGUGGUUUGGAAGCAACAAAUUAGGAAGCGAAUGGUUGAGUCAUGGCUAGAGGCAUCUGGAAGCAGCAGGAAGUAGCAGAGGAACCUCCGUCACAGGUUGGAGGCAAUUCCUCAUCAGGACCCAAGACUCUACAUAGACGUUUAAGAGGAAUAAUUCCUUAUACAAUUUUCACCCCUACGCUUAAUGGCCUGUGAUCACUUUACCAUGCUGAUGUGUAGUAUGAGGCAAUAAACUAAUUGAACUCCCUUCUCA